AUAUUAUUGGGGAUUUCUUGCUCCUAGAUUCUUAAAAUACAUGUAUGUAUAUGUAUAUAUUAUAUAUGUAUAUGUAAUUGCGGGGUUCUAAGCUUUACGGUAAGAAACUUUCGGUUGGGUUUCCCAUAAAGUUUAGAAACUUGCAAUUAUAUACGCAUAUAUAAUAUAUAUAUACAUACAUGUAUUUUAAAAACCUAAGAGCAAGAAACCCCC